CAACUUUCAGCGACGGAUCUCUUGGCUCUCGCAUCGAUGAAGAACGCAGCGAAAUGCGAUAAGUAGUGUGAAUUGCAGAAUUCAGUGAAUCAUCGAAUCUUUGAACGCACCUUGCGCUCCUUGGUAUUCCGAGGAGCAUGCCUGUUUGAGUGUCAUUA
rnacentral:rRNA from 1 species